CAGGGAGACAACAAAAUGUUUAAUAUUAUUUUGUCACCUUAGGUCGAUCGGUAUCUCACGGUCUUAAAUAAUUAAGAAUUUCAUUUCCUAAGUUUUUCUAGGUCACACCCAUUAUUUUUCCUGGGCCAUUAGCUCAGGUGGUUAGAGCGCACCCCUGAUAAGGGUGAGGUCCCUGGUUCAAGUCCAGGAUGGCCCAUAUCUCUAUGUUGGGGGUAUAGCUCAGUCGGUAGAGCGCCUGCUUUGCAAGCAGGAUGUCAGCGGUUCGAGUCCGCUUACCUCCACUGAUUACCACCUCUACCAUAUCUCGGAUAAAGGAAAUUUUUUGUGUUGUGAUCAAAUUCUGAACGAAUCUAGCUUCCUAAUGAAAUCAUUAAGAUGCUGGACUCAUUGAAUUAAUUUCAUUGUUUUCAGAGAACCUUGACAACUGCAUAGAUUAUUUUUAAAGACAAUAAGCAUCUUUAAUGAUGCAGAUUUAUUAUUUGUGCGAAUGCAUUAAUAACAAUUCUAUUAAGCUGAUGCUUCAAUUUUGAAGUUAUU
rnacentral:tRNA from 1 species